rnacentral:rRNA from 1 species
GAUGAACGCUGGCGGCGUGCCUAAUACAUGCAAGUCGAGCGAACAGACGAGGAGCUUGCUCCUCUGACGUUAGCGGCGGACGGGUGAGUAACACGUGGAUAACCUACCUAUAAGACUGGGAUAACUUCGGGAAACCGGAGCUAAUACCGGAUAAUAUAUUGAACCGCAUGGUUCAAUAGUGAAAGACGGUUUUGCUGUCACUUAUAGAUGGAUCCGCGCCGCAUUAGCUAGUUGGUAAGGUAACGGCUUACCAAGGCAACGAUGCGUAGCCGACCUGAGAGGGUGAUCGGCCACACUGGAACUGAGACACGGUGCAGACUCCUACGGGAGGCAGCAGUAGGGAAUCUUCCGCAAAGGGCGAAAGCCUGACGGAGCAACGCCGCGUGAGUGAUGAAGGUCUUCGGAUCGUAAAACUCUGUUAUUAGGGAAGAACAAAUGUGUAAGUAACUAUGCACGUCUUGACGGUACCUAAUCAGAAAGCCACGGCUAACUACGUG